GCAAUUUCUAUUAUGAUUUUAUAGUCCAGGCCACAGUUACAUACAUGUACAGUCAUAAAUUACUAAUUUCAGGACCAAAACUGGGCUAGACUUUUGGCUUUACAACUCACCAAUUGUUCCCAAAAAUAAUAUCAGUCUUGGAUGGUGUGUGGAAUGUACUGGUUAUAUACAUAAACAAGACAUAGCCUGGACAUAACUCAAUAGCAUCUGUGUUUGGGAGAAUGCCACAGCCUUCUUCAAACUGGGUGCAUUGAAAUAGUUUUUAAAAUAGUUCAUCCAAGGUUAUUUAUAUAUAUAUAUAUAUUUAUAUAUAUAUAUAUAUAUAUAUAUAUAUACACACACACACUAUACAUUCAUUCUGUGUUUAUGCCUCUGAUUUAAGCUAAGUCAAUAGUCAGUAACACUUCACUUAAAGUAUACAGCUAUAAUGUGAAGGAUUUAUGGGAGCCAUCCUGGUAUCUCUUCAUUAUUGAUUACUCAAAGUAUUAGAUGAUUUAAUGACAAAGACAAUGGCAGACACGAACGGGCACCCGGGAGAAAACUCGAGUACAGAUUUCAGGUCCAUUUUCUCCAAGCCUUAUUUCCUUGUUCAUCUCUGUUCAUACCUAGUUUUGUAUCAUAAUGUGCCUUGGAAUAAUUGGUUACAGUAAUCAAAUUCAACAUAUCACAACAGCUGGAGUGUAGCGUUUCAAUAAACCGCUCGACCAUAUUCCUGUUAAACUUCAAGGUGACAAAUUUAACCAUUACAUCAGUGUUGUUGACAACAAACCACAGAUGCCAUUAGCUUGUUAGUGACUGGAGUGCACACAGCAGGGCCUUCUCUCUUGACCUUCGGAGCAAACCCUCCCUAUCAUAGACUCAAUGGACUCUAAAAAGAUGAAAUUAUUUUCACCACCUGUAGGAUGACCCCAUAUUCUAUGAUAACAGAAAAGAACAUUUGUAUUUUAUUUUUACUCGAAGGCCAGUCGGACAUCACUGCUCGCUGUCCAUGAGUUUACAAACAAAACCCAGAGGCAUAUUAUACACAGUGCCUUGGGAAGUAUUCAGACCCCUUGACCUUUUCCACAUUUUUGUUACGUUACAGCCUUAUUCUAAAAAUGGAUUAAAUAAAUAAAACAUCCUCAGCAAUCUACACACAAUACCCCAUAAUGACAAAGCGAAAACAAGAUUUUUGACAUUUGUAAAAAACAGAAAUUCCUUAUUUACAUAAGUAUUCAGACCCUUUGCUAUGAGACUCGAAAUUGAGCUCCGAUGCAUCCUGUUUCCAUUGGUCAUCCUUUUAGAUGUUUCUACAACUUGAUUAGAGUCCACCUGUGGUAAAUUCAAUUGAAUGGACAUGAUUUGGAAAGGCACACACCUGUCUAUAUAAAGGUCCCACAGAUGACAGGGCAUGUCAGAGCAAAAAACAAGUCAUGUGGUUGAAGGAAUUGUCCGUAGAGCUCAGAGAUAGGAUUGUGUCAAGGCACAGAUUUUGGGAAGGGUACCAAAAAAAUUCUGCGACAUUGAAGAUCCCCAAGAACACAGUGGCCUGCAUCAUUCUUUAAUGGAAGAAGUUUGGAACCACCAAGACCCUUCCUAGAGCUGGCCGCCCGGCCACACAGCAAUCGGGAGAGAAGGGCCUUGGUCAGGGAGGUGAACAACAACCCGAUGGUCACUCUGACAGACUCUAGAGUUCCUGUAGAGUUGGGAGAACCUUCCAGAAGGACAACCAUCUCUGCAGUACUCCACCAAUCAGGCCUUUAUGGUAGAGUGGCCAGAUGGAAGCCACUCCUCAGGAAAAGACACGACAGCCAACUUGGAGUUUGCCAAAAGGCAUCUAAAGACUCUCAGACCAUGAGAAACAAGAUUUCUUUAGUCUGAUGAAACCAAUAUUGAACACUUUGGCCUGAAUGUCAAGCGUCCCGUCUGGUGGAAACCUGGCACCAUCCAUUUGGUGAAGCAUGGUGGUGGCAGCAUCAUGCUGUGGGGAUGUUUUUCAGUGGCAGGGACUGGGAGACUAGUCAGGAUCGAGGCAAAGAUGAACAGAGCAAAGUACAGAGAGAUCCUUGAUGAAAACCUUCUCUAGAGCAUUCAGGACCUCAGACUGGGGCAAAGGUUCACCUUCCAACAGGACAAUCAUCCUAAGCACACAGACAAGACAACGCUUCAGGACAAAUCUCUGAAUGUCCUUGAGUGGCCCAGCCAGAACCUGGACUUGAACCUGACCGAACAUUUCAGGAGAGACCUGAAAAUAGCUGUGCAGCAACGCUUCCAAUCCAACCUGAAAGAGCUUGAAAGGAUCUGCAGAGAAGAAUAGGAAAAACUCCCCAAAUACAGUCGUGCCAAGCUUGUAGCGUCAUACCCAAGAAGACUUGAUGCUUUUUGACCUGAUGCUGCCAAAGGUGCUUCAACAAAGUCCUGAGUAAAGGGUCUGAAUACUUAUGCAAAUUUGAUAUCCAUUUUCAAUUGUUAAUAAAUUAGCAAAAAAAUCCUAAAAACCUGUUUUGCUUUGUGAUUAUGGGGUAUUAUGUGUAGAUUGAUGAGGGAAAAAACUAUUUCAUACAUUUUUUGAAUAAAGCUGUAAAGUAACAAAUUGUGACCAGAGUCAGCACUGUUGACACCAGAUAGGUACUGUAGAUACCAGAUAGUCAGAUAGGCACUGUUGACACCAGAUAGUCACUGUUGACACCAGAUAGUCACUGUUGACACCAUAUAGGUACUGUAGACACCAGAUAGGUACUGUAGACACCAGAUAGGUACUGUAGACACCAGAUAGGUACUGUAGACACCAGAUAGUCAGAUAGGUACUGUAGACACCAGAUAGUCAGAUAGGUACUGUAGACACCAGAUAGUCAGAUAGGUACUGUAGACACCAGAUAGGUACUGUAGACACCAGAUAGUCAGAAAGGUACUGUAGACACCAGAUAGUCAGAAAGGUACUGUAGACACCAGAUAGGUACUAUAGACACCAGAUAGUCAGAUAGGUACUGUAGUCUCACACGCUUGCAGACACUUUCGACGUUGAGGGAUUUUUAUAAUUUACGAUGAGGCUUACUAGUGUAAUAAGCCUUUUGUGAAAUGUUUCAUUUUCAUGGUUUAGGACCAACUAAAAGGGUAAGAACUAGAUCAAAGAAUUGUCUCAACAAUUUCUUAUAUUUAUUUCCCCCUUUUCAUUACAGGCAGAUAAGAGAAUACGACAUGCCACUGAACACAUAAUGAAAAUAGACGAGGAAGUUCAAUUCCCAAUUACUGUCAUACUGUGAGCUGUUGACAAAAAAGGGAAACAGGAAUGAUACAUUAGGAAAUAUAUCAUAUUUAUUCAUUUUUCCUACAUCAUACCCUGACUCACAUACAAUAUACCAGUCACAUGAAGCAAGCACUUAAAUCACCCAUGUGCUCGGGCAGGCUGGAACGCUCAGUGCAUAAAUAUCAUUGGUACACAAAUAAGCCCAGCCAAGGUUUCCCAAACCUAGUCUGAGACCCGGUGUUUAUCAAACCCACAUGAAACUGGUCAGUGGAAAUGGAGUGGUCCUACGACAUCACCUCAAUGAGCACAUCCAGUUCCAGACAAGUCCUUCCCGACAACAAGGUUGGAUUUUCACAAUAUUUACUCCAGCUGGAGUGAAAUGCUGCAUACGCAAUGAGCUUCCCAGACCAGGACCGAAAGAAAACUGUCCCAUCCCCUUCCCAGACCAGGACUGAAAAAAACUGGCCCAUCCCCUUCCCAGACCAGGACUGAAAAAAACUGUCCCAUCCCCUUCCCAGACCAGGACUGAAAAAAACUGUCCCAUCCCCUUCCCAGACCAGGACUGAAAGAAAACUGGUCCAUCCCCUUCCCAGACCAGGACUGAAAGAAAACUGGUCCAUCCCCUUCCCAGACCAGGACUGAAAAAAAACUGUCCCAUCCCCUUCCCAGACCAGGACGGAAAGAAAACUGGUCCAUCCCCUUCCCAGACCAGGACUGAAAGAAAACUGGUCCAUCCCCUUCCCAGACCAGGACGGAAAGAAAACUGGUCCAUCCCCUUCCCAGACCAGGACGGAAAGAAAACUGGUCCAUCCCCUUCCCAGACCAGGACUGAAAGAAAACUGGUCCAUCCCCUUCCCAGACCAGGACGGAAAGAAAACUGGUCCAUCCCCUUCCCAGACCAGGACGGAAAGAAA
ensembl:lncRNA